GACGUAGGGCGCGAGCGUUGUCCGGAUUUAUUGGGCGUAAAGAGCUCGUAGGCGGCUUGUCGCGUCGACUGUGAAAUCCCACGGCUCAACCGUGGAAGUGCACUCGAAACUGCAGGGCUAGAGUCCUGGAGAGGAAGGUGGAAUGCUUGGUGUAGAGGUGAAAUUCGUAGAUAUCAAGCGGAACACCGGUGGCGAAGGCGGCCUUCUGGACAGUGACUGACGCUGAGACGCGAAAGCGUGGGGAGCAAACAGG
rnacentral:rRNA from 1 species